GUAUUAGUUUGUUUAUAAACUGUAUAAUCGGGUACCGUAUAAUCAAUUAUGUCAUCAAUUGUGUGACACUUCGGGAACAUGUGAAGAUGAAAGUGUCAAUGUGUUAAUUGGAACAAUUUACGUCUUUCAUUCACUGAUAACUACAUGUGUGGUCAACAGGUGUUAGUAGCGAACAGAGAAGUGAAAGAUCGUCCGUGAUGUUGACAAACAUUGAACUUUAGAUCACCAGAUUGUCGGGUAGAAGCUGGGAAAGAUCUUGGCUCAGUCCAGCCUGUGAGAAGAACUGCUAUACUGGCAAAACGGUGGAAAACAGGACCUCCCAUGACUAACUUAACAUGAUGUUUUUGAUUACAUUUAUGCUGUCAUGUGUAUUUAUUUAAAUGGAAUUUGAAAACCACAUAAUAAUAUGUCUAUAUUUUAGAUAAUAAACAUGUGCAGCUGUAAUAAAAUGAAAUAUUAUAAA